AACGCGAAGAACCUUACCUGGGCUCGAAAUGUAGUGGAAUAGGGUGGAAACAUCCUAGUCUCGCAAGAGACUGCUAUAUAGGUGCUGCAUGGCUGUCGUCAGCUCGUGUCGUGAGAUGUUGGGUUAAGUCCCGCAACGAGCGCAACCCUCAUCCCUAGUUGCCAUCGGGUCAAGCCGGGCACUCUAGUGAAACCGCCCCGGAUAACGGGGAGGAAGGUGGGGAUGACGUCAAGUCCUCAUGGCCUUUAUGUCCAGGGCUACACACGUGCUACAAUGGUCGGUACAAACCGUCGCGAAACUGCAAAGUAGAGCUAAUCGGAAAAAGCCGGCCUCAGUUCGGAUUGGAGUCUGCAACUCGACUCCAUGAAGCUGGAAUCGCUAGUAAUCGCAGAUCAGAACGCUGCGGUGAAUACGUUCCCGGGCCUUGUACACACCGGAGUGC
rnacentral:rRNA from 1 species